rnacentral:rRNA from 1 species
AGUGAACGCUGGCGGUAGGCCUAACACAUGCAAGUCGAACGGCAGCACAGUAAGAGCUUGCUCUUACGGGUGGCGAGUGGCGGACGGGUGAGGAAUACAUCGGAAUCUACUUUUUCGUGGGGGAUAACGUAGGGAAACUUACGCUAAUACCGCAUACGACCUACGGGUGAAAGCAGGGGAUCUUCGGACCUUGCGCGAUUGAAUGAGCCGAUGUCGGAUUAGCUAGUUGGCGGGGUAAAGGCCCACCAAGGCGGCGAUCCGUAGCUGGUCUGAGAGGAUGGUCAGCCACACUGGAACUGAGACACGGUCCAGACUCCUACGGGAGGCAGCAGUGGGGAAUAUUGGACAAUGGGCGCAAGCCUGACCCAGCCAUACCGCGUGGGUGAAGAAGGCCUUCGGGUUGUAAAGCCCUUUUGUUGGGAAAGAAAAGCAGCAGGUUAAUACCCCGCUGUUCUGACGGUACCCAAAGAAUAAGCACCGGCUAACUUCGUG